rnacentral:tRNA from 1 species
GCGGGGGUACCCGAGCCAGGUCUAAGGGGGAGGACUUAAGAUCCUCUGGUUCAGGCCUUCGUGGGUUCAAGUCCCACCCUCCGCACCA